rnacentral:rRNA from 1 species
AUUGAACGCUGGCGGCAUGCCUUACACAUGCAAGUCGAACGGCAGCGCGGGAGCAAUCCUGGCGGCGAGUGGCGAACGGGUGAGUAAUAUAUCGGAACGUGCCCAGUAGUGGGGGAUAGCCCGGCGAAAGCCGGAUUAAUACCGCAUGAGACCUGAGGGUGAAAGCGGGGGAUCGCAAGACCUCGCGCUACUGGAGCGGCCGAUAUCAGAUUAGCUAGUUGGUGGGUAAAGGCCUACCAAGGCAACGAUCUGUAGUUGGUCUGAGAGGACGACCAGCCACACUGGGACUGAGACACGGCCCAGACUCCUACGGGAGGCAGCAGUGGGGAAUUUUGGACAAUGGGCGCAAGCCUGAUCCAGCAAUGCCGCGUGCAGGAAGAAGGCC